AGAAAAGUGAGGAAACAAGGAAGCAUCAGUUUGAGUAGUGAGAAGCACCCAGUGCACUUGCUGCUGCAUUUCCUGUUUAAGGUUGUUUGAGUCCAUUUGAGUGUUUACAGACUCUUUUGGUUGUUGGCUUUUGAAGCUGAUAACAUGAGGUUGAAUGUACAAAACACAAACUAAGUACUUCUCUGCCAAGAGUUUUUAAGUGUGACUGAAAGACUUUAUUCUUGUCAAAGACCAGUGUGAAAUGAAACCACUUCCUGUAUAGACUUAACACUUUUGAAGAUGCUAAUAAACAUUUUAAAGACCACACCUCAUCUGUGAAGACAAACUGACCAGCACAGUGUAUAAUGGAUUUAGAGGCUAUUUAUGGAAAUGUUGAAUGCAGAGAUAUUCAGAGCACAACUGGACCUCAAACUCAGAGUCACGGCCAGGAUGAACGAAAAGAUCUAAAGCGCAGAGGAAGUAGAUGUUUGGUGUUGAUCACAGUGGGUCUCGGGCUCAUUUGUGUUCUUCUGCUGGUCUUCAUCAUACUGCUGCACAUCACCAUCACAGCAGAGAGAGACCUGAUAAAGAGUUACAAGAACACAGCUGAAGAGUUCAAUCAAACCAUCAACAGCUUACAGAACAAUUACACUGAUCUAAUGACUGAAAAACACCAACUGCAGAACAACUUCAACUCUUUGAGUCGGAAGAAAGGGAAACUGGAGACCAGAGUCAAAGAUCUCACUGCUAAGAAAAACCAGUUACAGAGAGAUUUUGACUCUUUGAAUAAGAAAGGCCCAGUUUGUUUUUUCAUGUCUACUGAGUUGAAGAGCUGGUCUGACAGCAGACAGUACUGCAGGGAUCGUGGAGCUGAUCUGGUCAUUAUCAACACUGAAGAGAAGCAGAGGUUCAUAUCUUCAAUAGUCGGUGAGAGUGUGUGGAUUGGUUUGUCUGACAGAGAGCAGGAGGGCAACAUGAAAUGGGUGGAUAAUUCAACACUGAAACAAGGGUUUUGGCUCCAGGGUGAGCCAAAUAGCUAUGGUGGAGAUGAGGACUGUAUUGAACUGAAUCCUGAGAAACAUCACCUGAACAACUGGAAUGAUCGUUCAUGCUCAAACACAAGAAAAUGGAUUUGUGAGAAAUAGGGUUCAUCUAGUCUUGUCAUGCUUUUGCUUGUAUUAUCUUAUGGAAUCAUUCUUAUUGUGAUAUGAGAAUGUGUAAUAUCUGAUUGAGGUCCCUGUCAGUAACUGCUUUCAUAACUCCAUUAUCCACCUUUUUCUUUUUGUAAAAAUUGGCGCGGCCAAUUUAUCAUAUUAUUAAUCAUAUUAUUCAUAUGUAUUAUCUUAAUUAUGAACACAUUGGUUUGUAGUGCAAACAGUUUUACCAUUUACUGCAUGUUGUUAUUCUCCUCCUUAUUUAAUAGUGAACCGGAAGUCUCACCCAUAGGCUUACUUCUGCGUUGAAGAAAAAGGUGGAUAGCAUUAUGUGUCCUUAUUUCAGCUGUUAUCAUGAGUCUCAUUUGUUGAUAUGGGCUGAUAUUAAGUGUCUGUGGUUCUGCUUUUGAAAUGCAUUGCUUUCUUUCAUAAUAAAAUUGUUGACUGACGGUUUUAUCA
ensembl:lncRNA